rnacentral:rRNA from 1 species
AUUGAACGCUGGCGGCAGGCCUAACACAUGCAAGUCGAGCGAGCGGCGGGCGUGUGAGUAAUGUAUGGGGAUCUGCCCGAUAGAUGGGGAUCACUACUGGACACGGUGACUACAAACGCAUACUUUCGGAUAAGCCCAUAUGGGGUUAGCUAGUAGGGGGGGGAAAGGGUCACCUAGGCGACGAUCUCUAGCUGGGCUGAGAGGAUGAUCAGCCAAACUGGGACUGAGACACGGCCCAGACUCCUACGGGAGGCAGCAGUGGGGAAUAGUGCACAAUGGGCGAAAGCCUGAUGCAGCCAUGCCGCGUGUAUGAAGAAGGCCUUAGGGUUGUAAAGUACUUUCAGCGGGGAGGCGUUACCCGCAGAAGAAGCACCGGCUAACUCCGUGCCAGCAGCCGCGGUAAUAC